UACGUAGGGUGCGAGCGUUGUCCGGAAUUAUUGGGCGUAAAGAGCUCGUAGGCGGUCUGUCACGUCUGCUGUGAAAUCCCGAGGCUCAACCUCGGGCCUGCAGUGGGUACGGGCAGACUGGAGUGCGGUAGGGGAGAAUGGAAUUCCUGGUGUAGCGGUGGAAUGCGCAGAUAUCAGGAGGAACACCGAUGGCGAAGGCAGUUCUCUGGGCCGUAACUGACGCUGAGGAGCGAAAGCGUGGGGAGCGAACAGG
rnacentral:rRNA from 1 species